rnacentral:other from 1 species
AAUGUCCUGCGGUGUUCGAGAUCGGAUUAAUAUUUUGCCCAACACCAUAAUAUAAGGGAGCCUGGACUUCAUUUGUGGCGUACAAGCCUCCAACUAGAGAGGAAGUAUAAAGCAGAUGGGAGGGCACCCACUUUGAAGCUAAGAGCAAAAUACAAAAUCUAGUACGGCACUGCGGGACAAUU